UGCUUUUUUGAUGACGACCGGCGCACGGGUGCGUAACGCGUAUGCAAUCUACCUUUUGCUACUGGAUAGCCCAGAGAAAUUUGGAUUAACACAGUAUAGUAUCAUAUUACUGCAUGGUAUUUAUGAUUAAAGGCUACGGCAGAAGAUGAGCAUGCGUCCUAUUAGCUAGUUGGUGUGGUAACGGCAUACCAAGGCAACGAUAGGUAGGGGCCCUGAGAGGGGGAUCCCCCACACUGGUACUGAGACACGGACCAGACUCCUACGGGAGGCAGCAGUGAGGAAUAUUGGACAAUGGAGGCAACUCUGAUCCAGCCAUGCCGCGUGCAGGAUGACUGCCCUAUGGGUUGUAAACUGCUUUUAUACAGGAAGAAACCGCUCUACGUGUAGAGCUCUGACGGUACUGUAAGAAUAAGGAUCGGCUAACUCCGUGCCAGCAGCCGCGGUAAUACGGAGGAU
rnacentral:rRNA from 1 species